CUUUCACAUCUUGCAGUAUUGAACCUGAGAGUCAUGUGUGUUGACAGGAACCAGUGUAUUUAUUUCUUUUUCACCAGUUAUGCAAUUCCAUACAAUGUACCAGACCACAAUUUGCUUUUUUUUUUUUUUUUUUUAAGUGGGGUCGCUAGAGAGGGACUGCCUGCUGGCCUAGUCACUUACUAGCUAUGUGACUUUGGGUAAAUUCCUCACUCUCUCUGUGCCUUGGCACUUCCAUCUAGAAAAUGGGGCUCAUAUUAGUAGGACCCAUGUUAGAGCUGGGGCAGGGACUAUAUGAGAAAGUUCCUUCAAAGGCUCACAGCGGUGUGUGAGUGGGACAGUGAACCCCACAAGGGGAAGGCUAGUGUCUUAUCCAUCUCUGGAAAUAAUUGAAUGACUCCUCCUCUGCCCUUGCUUCCCUGCAGGGACCCACUGCUUCUGCCCCUGACACCUUGGGGACCCUAGGCUGUCUACCUGGCAUCUCAGCGCUCAUGUGCACGGGACUCCAAUUCCAUCAAUCUGAUGAUGCUCAUGACCACACAUAAAAACUGGAAAACAGGCUGCACAGCUCGGGUCAUGAUCUCACUGUUAAUGAGUUGGAGACCCACGCCCGGCUCUGCGCUGACAGCCGUGGAACCUGCUUG